ACAGUUUUUAAUUUUAAUGAAGUUCAACAUAUCGGGUUUGUUUUUGUUUUAAUGCAACCUUCGCCAGUCAGGCUGAAGCAAUCCUCUGACCGUGGCCUCCUAAGUAGCUGAGACUACAGGCAUGUGCCACCAUUCCAGGCUAAGUUUUGUACUUUUUAUAGGAUUUGUUGACAUGUGUUUUGUGGCCUACAAUGUGGUCUAUCUUGGGGAAUCCUUCACAAAAGCUUGAGAAGAAUGUGCAUUCUCCUGUUGCUAGAUGAAUUAUUCUAUAAAUCUCAAAUACAUUAGUAGAUCUUCUCA
rnacentral:lncRNA from 1 species